UUGUCUAUGAGGUGUCUUUGUGUCUACGUG
rnacentral:piRNA from 1 species